GCCCACGUAGCUCAGCCGGUAGAGCACACGCAUGGUAAGCGUGAGGUCACCAGUUCGAUCCUGGUCGUGGGCU
rnacentral:tRNA from 1 species